rnacentral:misc_RNA from 1 species
GAUGAAGAACGCAGUGAAAUGUGAUAAUUAAUGUGAAUUGCAGAAUUCAGUGAAUCAUCGAGUCUUUGAACGCACAUUGCGCCCCCUGGUAUUCCGGGGGGCAUGCCUGUCCGAGCGUCAUUGCUGCCCUCAAGCACGGCUUGUGUGUUGGGCUUCCGUCCCUGGCAACGGGGACGGGCCCAAAAGGCAGUGGCGGCACCAUGUCUGGUCCUCGAGCGUAUGGGGCUUUGUCACCCGCUCCCGUAGGUCCAGCUGGCAGCUAGCCUCGCAACCAAUCUUUUUAACCAGGUUGACCUCGGAUCAGGUAGGGAUACCCGCUGAACUUAAGCAUAUCAAUAAGCGGAGGA